UACGGGGGGGCAAGCGUUGUUCGGAAUUACUGGGCGUAAAGGGCUCGUAGGUGGCCAACUAAGUCGGACGUGAAAUCCCCAGGCUCAACUUGGGAACUGCGUCCGAUACUGGAUGGCUUGAAUUCGGGAGAGGGAUGCAGAAUUCCAGGUGUAGCGGUGAAAUGCGUAGAUAUCUGGAGGAAUACCGGUGGCGAAGGCGGCAUCCUGGACCGAGAUUGACACUGAUGAGCGAAAGCCAGGGGAGCAAACGGG
rnacentral:rRNA from 1 species